GCUACUGUAUACUGCUGCUGUCCAGGGCCAGGGAGAGUUCUCUGCAGUCCUCUCAGAUCCAAGAUUCAGUGAGAAUACUUACUGACAUGAAAUCCUUGAAGGGAGAACAGAGAGACGGUAAGAAGCGAUGAGCUCCUGUGCUUGAGAUCCCACGUGGAACAGCCAUCUUAAACCUGAGUGCUGAACACUACUUUUCCAGCCAUAAUAAUUUAAUCAGAGGUCAAAGGUGAAGCAGGAAGUCAGACGGUCGAUGUUUACAGUUGACAGUUUUGGUGGGUGAGAGUGAAGCAGGCACAACUGCAGCGUGUUGUCAGGUUAGUGAAGUCCGGGGAGGUGUCCUUGAACUGAAGCGGCUCCUGAGACAACGCGCUCCCAAGCAGCCGUGAUCCCACAGUGGAGACGAGUGACACCCGCUGAGCGGAGAGGACAAGGUGGCGUUUUCAUUGCAUUGUGGUGCUUUGGCUCCAGUCAUACAGUAACGUUACUAACAGCUGAGGACUGGAAACAUGCUGCUUCCCCAUCAAACUUGGUCCCAGUGACCUUGACCUUUGACCUCCAAACUCUAAUCAGCUCAUCCUUGAGUCCGAGCGGAUAUUUUCUUCACUAGUCCUGAAGCAAAUUGUGAAGCAAGUGGCUGUGAUGCUGCUUUCAUGAGGAUAGAAUGAACAGCCAGACACAGAACCUGAACCUGCGCCUCCAGCCACCGCAGAGGCAUUAUUGGUCAAAACCAUCAAUACACAUCUUUUAAAAAUAUGAAACAUUAUUGGCUUAGAGUGAAAGAAAUCCCAGCUACAAAAGCCUGACUCAACUCUCUCGGCCGCCACCUCUCGCCUGCUUCCUAAAUCACCGUGUUCCUGCUCUGCUUUCCCUCGGCGUCAUGCUCCAGAGAUUCCAACAGGAAAGAAUAAAAAACCUGAGAGGAACCAGCGAAGACAGAUCCACCUGUACUUUCUCUCUCUCUUUUUGGCAAACACACAGCAUUUAAGAAUAGACCCGGAGACAUGGUUCACAGCAUCGAGGGCCAAGUGGACAGGGAGCGGAGUUCAGAGUUCAAACAUUCACCUGGUUGAGACUCAAGGCCCAUUCUAGUACUUUUCUCUCCUUUAUUUUCUGCUUUUGUUUAUUUCUCUUUUCAGUUCAGUGUUUGCGCUCUACUUUGCGGAUUCUGAUGACCAGGACUUCAUCAUGUGUUGACUGUAAUCACACGCUGCACACCGUGAGCUGUCAGCUCGAGGACGUGUAUGUUUCAAGGGUAAUUGCCAUAACUUAUCAUUUUGAAAUGAAUUUUGAUAUUGAAGAAUUUGAGAGCUUGAGCCGGUGCCUGUGUUUAAAUUUCCCUGGGUACGACUGCAGCAACGCAGGGCUGAAAUAUAUCAGGAGGAGGCCCGGCCUCAACCGAUUUUUAAUAUUAGGCCCGAUGUCAGCCAAGAUGGUAAAUUAUGGGACUCAGCUGUCAAUAG